rnacentral:rRNA from 1 species
AGUGGCGGACGGGUGAGUAAUGUCUGGGAAACUGCCUGAUGGAGGGGGAUAACUACUGGAAACGGUGGCUAAUACCGCAUAACGUCGCAAGACCAAAGAGGGGGACCUUCGGGCCUCUUGCCAUCAGAUGUGCCCAGAUGGGAUUAGCUUGUUGGUGAGGUAACGGCUCACCAAGGCGACGAUCCCUAGCUGGUCUGAGAGGAUGACCAGCCACACUGGAACUGAGACACGGUCCAGACUCCUACGGGAGGCAGCAGUGGGGAAUAUUGCACAAUGGGCGCAAGCCUGAUGCAGCCAUGCCGCGUGUAUGAAGAAGGCCUUCGGGUUGUAAAGUACUUUCAGCGGGGAGGAAGGUGUUGUGGUUAAUAACCGCAGCAAUUGACGUUACCCGCAGAAGAAGCACCGGCUAACUCCGUGCCAGCAGCCGCGGUAAUACGGAGGGUGCAAGCGUUAAUCGGAAUUACUGGGCGUAAAGCGCACGCAGGCGGUCUGUCAAGUCGGAUGUGAAAUCCCCGGGCUCAACCUGGGAACUGCAUUCGAAACUGGCAGGCUUGAGUCUUGUAGAGGGGGGUAGAAUUCCAGGUGUAGCGGUGAAAUGCGUAGAGAUCUGGAGGAAUACCGGUGGCGAAGGCGGCCCCCUGGACAAAGACUGACGCUCAGGUGCGAAAGCGUGGGGAGCAAACAGGAUUAGAUACCCUGGUAGUCCACGCCGUAAACGAUGUCUACUUGGAGGUUGUGCCCUUGAGGCGUGGCUUCCGGAGCUAACGCGUUAAGUAGACCGCCUGGGGAGUACGGCCGCAAGGUUAAAACUCAAAUGAAUUGACGGGGGCCCGCACAAGCGGUGGAGCAUGUGGUUUAAUUCGAUGCAACGCGAAGAACCUUACCUGGUCUUGACAUCCACAGAACUUUCCAGAGAUGGAUUGGUGCCUUCGGGAACUGUGAGACAGGUGCUGCAUGGCUGUCGUCAGCUCGUGUUGUGAAAUGUUGGGUUAAGUCCCGCAACGAGCGCAACCCUUAUCCUUUGUUGCCAGCGGUCCGGCCGGGAACUCAAAGGAGACUGCCAGUGAUAAACUGGAGGAAGGUGGGGAUGACGUCAAGUCAUCAUGGCCCUUACGACCAGGGCUACACACGUGCUACAAUGGCGCAUACAAAGAGAAGCGACCUCGCGAGAGCAAGCGGACCUCAUAAAGUGCGUCGUAGUCCGGAUUGGAGUCUGCAACUCGACUCCAUGAAGUCGGAAUCGCUAGUAAUCGUGGAUCAGAAUGCCACGGUGAAUACGUUCCCGGGCCUUGUACACACCGCCCGUCACACCAUGGGAGUGGGUUGCAAAAGAAGUAGGUAGCUUAACCUUCGGGAGGGCGCUUACCACUUUGUGAUUCAUGACUGGGGUGAAGUCGUAACAAGGUAACCGUAGGGGAACCUGCGGUUGGAUCACCUCCUUA